AGGUCUCUUCGGAGAUACUCGAGUGGCCAAUGGGUGAGUCCCUUUCUGGUGAUCUGCCCUGCACUUCGGGAUAAGCGUGGGAAACUGGGUCUAAUACCGGAUAGGACCACGGGAUGCAUGUCUUGUGGUGGAGGGCGCUUUAGAGGUGUGGGAUGAGCCCGCGGCCUAUCAGCUUGUUGGUGGGGUGACGGCCUACCAAGGCGACGACGGGUAGCCGGCCUGAGAGGGUGUCCGGCCACACUGGGACUGAGAUACGGCCCAGACUCCUACGGGAGGCAGCAGUGGGGAAUAUUGCACAAUGGGCGCAAGCCUGAUGCAGCGACGCCGCGUGGGGGAUGACGGCCUUCGGGUUGUAAACCUCUUUCACCAUCGACGAAGGUCCGGGUUCUCUCGGAUUGACGGUAGGUGGAGAAGAAGCACCGGCCAACUACGUGCCAGCAGCCGCGGUAAUACGUAGGGUGCGAGCGUUGUCCGGAAUUACUGGGCGUAAAGAGCUCGUAGGUGGUUUGUCGCGUUGUUCGUGAAAUCUCACGGCUUAACUGUGAGCGUGCGGGCGAUACGGGCAGACUAGAGUACUGCAGGGGAGACUGGAAUUCCUGGUGUAGCGGUGGAAUGCGCAGAUAUCAGGAGGAACACCGGUGGCGAAGGCGGGUCUCUGGGCAGUAACUGACGCUGAGGAGCGAAAGCGUGGGGAGCGAACAGGAUUAGAUACCCUGGUAGUCCACGCCGUAAACGGUGGGUACUAGGUGUGGGUUUCCUUCCUUGGGAUCCGUGCCGUAGGCUACGCAUUAAGUACCCGCCUGGGGAGUACGGCCGCAAGGCUAAACUCAAAGGAUUGACGGGGGCCGCACAAGCGGCGGAGCAUGUGGAUUAUUCGAUGCACGCGAAGAACUUACCUGGGUUGACAUGAAAAGACGCGUCUAGAGAUAGCGUUCCUUGUG
rnacentral:rRNA from 1 species